rnacentral:rRNA from 1 species
UACGUAGGGUCCGAGCGUUGUCCGGAAUUAUUGGGCGUAAAGGGCUCGUAGGCGGUUCGUCACGUCGGGAGUGAAAACUCGGAGCUUAACUCCGAGCCUGCUUCCGAUACGGGCAGACUAGAGUCCGGAAGAGGAGAGUGGAAUUCCUGGUGUAGCGGUGAAAUGCGCAGAUAUCAGGAAGAACACCCGUGGCUAAGGCGGCUCUCUAGUACGUGACUGACGCUGAGACGCGAAAGCGUGGGGAGCGAACAGG